UAACGAAUCUUCCGCAAUGCACGAAAGUGUGACGGAGCGACGCCGCGUGGAGGACGAAGUUCUUCGGAAUGUAAACUCCUGUCAGGGGAAAGAAAGUUCUGAUCUACCCCAGAGGAAGAGGCGGCUAACUCUGUGCCAGCAGCCGCGGUAAUACAGAGGCCUCGAGCGUUAGACGGAAUCACUGGGCUUAAAGCGUGUGUAGGCGGAAGGGUAAGUACCUUGUGAAAUCCCACGGCUUAACCGUGGAACGGCUUGGUAUACUGCUUUUCUUGAGCAAUCUAGGGGCGAGUGGAACAGAUGGUGGAGCGGUGAAAUGCGUAGAUAUCAUCUGGAACGCCAAUGGUGAAGACAACUCGCUGGGGAUUUGCUGACGCUGAGACACGAAAGCCAGGGGAGCGAACGGGAUUAGAUACCCGAGUAGUCCCUGAGCGGGCUGGCAAGGCGCAU
rnacentral:rRNA from 1 species